rnacentral:snRNA from 1 species
GCAAGCAAAGGUGCAAACAUAUACAAUACAGAGAGGAUUAGCAUGGUUGCUGUACAAGAAUGACACGCAAAAUCAUGAAGCGUUCCAUUUUUUU